UACGUAGGGUGCGAGCGUUGUCCGGAAUUAUUGGGCGUAAAGGGCUCGUAGGCGGUUUGUCGCGUCGGGAGUGAAAACACCGGGCUUAACUCGGUGCUUGCUUUCGAUACGGGCAGACUAGAGGCAUGCAGGGGAGAACGGAAUUCCUGGUGUAGCGGUGAAAUGCGCAGAUAUCAGGAGGAACACCAGUGGCGAAGGCGGGUCUCUGGGCCGGUACCGACGCUGAGGAGCGAAAGCGUGGGGAGCGAACAGG
rnacentral:rRNA from 1 species